AUUGAACGCUGGCGGCAUGCCUUACACAUGCAAGUCGAACGGCAGCACGGGAGCAAUCCUGGUGGCGAGUGGCGAACGGGUGAGUAAUAUAUCGGAACGUGCCCAGUCGUGGGGGAUAACGUAGCGAAAGCUACGCUAAUACCGCAUACGAGCUAUGGAUGAAAGCGGGGGAUCGCAAGACCUCGCGCGAUUGGAGCGGACGAUAUCAGAUUAGGUAGUUGGAGGAGUAAAGGCUAACCAAGCCGACGAUCCGUAGCUGGUCUGAGAGGACGACCAGCCACACUGGGACUGAGACACGGCACAGACUCCUACGGGAGGCAGCAGUGGGGAAUUUUGGACAAUGGGCGCAAGCCUGAUCCAGCAAUGCCGCGUGCAGGAUGAAGGCCUUCGGGUUGUAAACUGCUUUUGUACGGAACGAAACGGCGAGCUCUAAUACAGUUUGCUAAUGACGGUACCGUAAGAAUAAGCACCGGCUAACUACGUGCCAGCAGCCGCCGUAACAC
rnacentral:rRNA from 1 species